GUGGGUGUGGCUCAGUGGUAGAGCAUAUGCUUAGCACGCACAAGGUCCAAGGUUCAAUCCCCAGUACCUCCA
rnacentral:tRNA from 1 species